rnacentral:rRNA from 1 species
GACGAACGCUAGCGGCGUGCCUAAUGUAUGCAAGUCGAACGGCUCGGGUCCUUCGGGGCCCGGGUAGUGGCGAACGGUUGAGUAACACGUAGACAACCUGCCUCUGGGUGGGGGAUAACCCCGCGAAAGCGGGGCUAAUACCGCAUAGGGCGGCCAAGGGCUUCCUUGGCAGGCUAAAGGAGCAAUCCGCCCGGAGAUGGGUCUGCGGCCUAUCAGCUUGUUGGUGGGGUAACGGCCUACCAAGGCGACGACGGGUAGCUGGUCUGAGAGGAUGAUCAGCCAGACGGGGACUGAGACACGGCCCCGACUCCUUCGGGAGGCAGCAAUGAGGGAUAUUGCGCAAUGGGGGAAACCCUGACGCAGCGACGCCGCGUGGGUGAGGAAGUCCUUCGGGAUGUAAAGCCCUUUUGCAGGGGACGAUACCAGACGGUACCCUG